rnacentral:rRNA from 1 species
AGAAUCAACGCUGGCGGCGUGCCUAACACAUGCAAGUCGCACGAGAAAGUGGAGCAAUCCACGAGUACAGUGGCGCACGGGUGAGUAACACGUGAAUGAUCUACCUCCGAGUGGGGGAAUAACUGAGAGAAAUCUUAGCUAAUACCGCAUAAUACCCACGGGUCAAAGCAGCAAUGCGCUUGGAGAGGAGUUCGCGGCCGAUUAGCUAGUUGGCGGGGUAAUGGCCCACCAAGGCGAUGAUCGGUA